rnacentral:rRNA from 1 species
CCUCUAGUUGCCAGCAUCGGUUGGGCACUCUAGAGGGGACUGCCGGCGACAAGUCGGAGGAAGUGGGGAUGACGUCAAAUCAUCAUGCCCCUUAUGACCUGGGCUACACACGUGCUACAAUGGGCGGUACAAAGGGCUGCGAACCCGCGAGGGGGAGCGAAUCCCAAAAAGCCGCUCUCAGUUCGGAUUGCAGGCUGCAACUCGCCUGCAUGAAGCCGGAAUCGCUAGUAAUCGCGGAUCAGCAUGCCGCGGUGAAUACGUUCCCGGGCCUU